UGCAGUUCGAGCGAACAGAUAAGGAGCUUGCUCCUUUGACGUUAGCGGCGGACGGGUGAGUAACACGUGGGUAACCUACCUAUAAGACUGGGAUAACUUCGGGAAACCGGAGCUAAUACCGGAUAACAUUUGGAACCGCAUGGUUCUAAAGUGAAAGAUGGUUUUGCUAUCACUUAUAGAUGGACCCGCGCCGUAUUAGCUAGUUGGUAAGGUAACGGCUUACCAAGGCAACGAUACGUAGCCGACCUGAGAGGGUGAUCGGCCACACUGGAACUGAGACACGGUCCAGACUCCUACGGGAGGCAGCAGUAGGGAAUCUUCCGCAAUGGGCGAAAGCCUGACGGAGCAACGCCGCGUGAGUGAUGAAGGGUUUCGGCUCGUAAAACUCUGUUAUUAGGGAAGAACAAAUGUGUAAGUAACUGUGCACAUCUUGACGGUACCUAAUCAGAAAGCCACGGCUAACUACGUGCCAGCAGCCGCGGUAAUACGUAGGUGGCAAGCGUUAUCCGGAAUUAUUGGGCGUAAAGCGCGCGUAGGCGGUUUCUUAAGUCUGAUGUGAAAGCCCACGGCUCAACCGUGGAGGGUCAUUGGAAACUGGGAAACUUGAGUGCAGAAGAGGAAAGUGGAAUUCCAUGUGUAGCGGUGAAAUGCGCAGAGAUAUGGAGGAACACCAGUGGCGAAGGCGACUUUCUGGUCUGUAACUGACGCUGAUGUGCGAAAGCGUGGGGAUCAAACAGGAUUAGAUACCCUGGUAGUCCACGCCGUAAACGAUGAGUGCUAAGUGUUAGGGGGUUUCCGCCCCUUAGUGCUGCAGCUAACGCAUUAAGCACUCCGCCUGGGGAGUACGACCGCAAGGUUGAAACUCAAAGGAAUUGACGGGGACCCGCACAAGCGGUGGAGCAUGUGGUUUAAUUCGAAGCAACGCGAAGAACCUUACCAAAUCUUGACAUCCUUUGAAAACUCUAGAGAUAGAGCCUUCCCCUUCGGGGGACAAAGUGACAGGUGGUGCAUGGUUGUCGUCAGCUCGUGUCGUGAGAUGUUGGGUUAAGUCCCGCAACGAGCGCAACCCUUAAGCUUAGUUGCCAUCAUUAAGUUGGGCACUCUAGGUUGACUGCCGGUGACAAACCGGAGGAAGGUGGGGAUGACGUCAAAUCAUCAUGCCCCUUAUGAUUUGGGCUACACACGUGCUACAAUGGACAAUACAAAGGGCAGCUAAACCGCGAGGUCAUGCAAAUCCCAUAAAGUUGUUCUCAGUUCGGAUUGUAGUCUGCAACUCGACUACAUGAAGCUGGAAUCGCUAGUAAUCGUAGAUCAGCAUGCUACGGUGAAUACGUUCCCGGGUCUUGUACACACCGCCCGUCACACCAGCGAGAGUUUGUAACACCCGAAGCC
rnacentral:rRNA from 1 species